rnacentral:rRNA from 1 species
UGUCGUCAGCUCGUGUUGUGAAAUGUUGGGUUAAGUCCCGCAACGAGCGCAACCCUUAUCCUUUGUUGCCAGCACGUGAUGGUGGGAACUCAAAGGAGACUGCCGGUGAUAAACCGGAGGAAGGUGGGGAUGACGUCAAGUCAUCAUGGCCCUUACGAGUAGGGCUACACACGUGCUACAAUGGCAGAUACAAAGUGAAGCGAACUCGCGAGAGCAAGCGGACCACAUAAAGUCUGUCGUAGUCCGGAUUGGAGUCUGCAACUCGACUCCAUGAAGUCGGAAUCGCUAGUAAUCGUAGAUCAGAAUGCUACGGUGAAUACGUUCCCGGGCCUUGUACACACCGCCCGUCACACCAUGGGAGUGGGUUGCAAAAGAAGUAGGUAGCUUAACCUUCGGGAGGGCGCUUACCACUUUGUGAUUCAUGACUGGGGUGAAGUCGUAACAAGGUAACCGUAGGGGAACCUGCGGUUGGAUCACCUCCUUA